GACGAACGCUGGCGGUGUGCUUAACACAUGCAAGUGGAGCGACGAACCAGAGCUUGCUCUGGGGCAGAGCCGCGAACGGGUGAGUAACACGUGGGUAACCUACCCUGAUGACUGGGACAACCCGAGGAAACUCGGGCUAAUACCGGAUGUGCCCUCCGCUCACGAGAGAGGCGCGUAAAGCAAGCUUCGGCCUCCGCACCGGGAGGGGCCCGCGGCCCAUUAGGUUGUUGGUGGGGUAACGGCCUACCAAGACUGCGAUGGGUAGCUGGCCUGAGAGGACGAUCAGCCACACUGGGACUGAGACACGGCCCAGACUCCUACGGGAGGCAGCAGUGGGGAAUCUUGCGCAAUGCGCGACAGCGUGACGCAGCAACACCGCGUGGGGGAAGAAGGCCUGCGGGUUGUAAACCCCUUUCAGGAGGGACGAAGGCCGGCCGGUGAAUAGCCGUGCCGGUUGACGGUACCUCCACAAGAAGCCCCGGCUAACUACGUGCCAGCCGCCGCGGUAA
rnacentral:rRNA from 1 species